rnacentral:rRNA from 1 species
GACGAACGCUGGCGGCGUGCUUAACACAUGCAAGUCGAGCGGUAAGGCCCUUUCGGGGGUACACGAGCGGCGAACGGGUGAGUAACACGUGGGUGACCUGCCUUUAGCUCUGGGAUAAGCCUGGGAAACCGGGUCUAAUACCGGAUAUGACUCCGCGGCGCAUGUUGUGGGGUGGAAAGCCUUGUGCGGCUGGAGAUGGGCCCGCGGCCUAUCAGCUUGUUGGUGGGGUGAUGGCCUACCAAGGCGACGACGGGUAGCCGGCCUGAGAGGGCGACCGGCCACACUGGGACUGAGACACGGCCCAGACUCCUACGGGAGGCAGCAGUGGGGAAUCUUGCGCAAUGGGCGAAAGCCUGACGCAGCGACGCCGCGUGAGGGAUGACGGCCUGGUGUAAG